AUCCUUACUGGUGAGCACGUCCUGCUGAAGAACAGCCUUGGGUAUCUGCCUGCAGACAUCAGGCUUAGCAGGAUUUGGGCUUUAACUCUUAAUUUAUAGCAUUGAACAGCUCUCGGGUAGGUGGUGCAGUAUAAAGCGGAUGGUGCUGUGACACGCAGUUCCCCCCAAGGAGUGAAGCUUGCUGCCUUCACCUUGGUGUGAGGCUCUGUGCUCCAGGAACGAGCAGGAAUAUCACGGUCUGGCCCAUAUUCCUCCCUGGAGGAAAGAGACAGAUGAUAUCAUUGUUGGAGUUGUUUGGACAUCAUAAAGAUGUCAACUUUGCUGAGCAAUGUUUUGAUUAAGAAGGAGCACGCCCACAGUGAAAGGCACAGGCUUAUUCCUGGGAGACUUUGUGCACACCGUACACAGCUCCUCCUGAACCCUGUACCCUACGAUCCAAGAAUACAACUGUUAAAUUAGGAAGAGACAUGGGCCUAAACGCAUGCUAAUCAUCAGAUAGUUUCCAUUCCACUGUGAAAAGAUUAAGUGGAAGUAUGCAACUGAGCAUUGACUUCAAGACUUUUCAAGUUCACCGUACAAAACUACACCUUCCAAAUCACUGUCGUGCAUAAAGCAGGGUACUCUGUUCAGUGUCUGCAGAGAUGGCAGAAAGCUUGAAGGAAUUACUGCUUGGCAGGCAGGACAAUGCAGCUAGAGCAUGGAUGCAGUUGCCCAUCUGAGAGUGCGCCGUUGUGCCUGGGAGACACUUCAAGAGUGAAAAAAAUGCUGAAAAUACCGAUGCAGCCAUUUUCUGCACUAUUUGCUUCUCCAAGUGACAGCAUUUUAUGAACGGUUCUGCUUCACAUGUUCCUCUUCACACUGACACUUGCACUCCGAGCCUGAGCAUCUCUUCAGAAAAGAAGGUGGGAACAUGUUGGAGACAGGAGCGUAGGGUGGUUGUAGCAGGUUGGAACACCUAAUUUGUACAAGCAGACAGCCCAGAAAAUAAGGAAAAUGCAACAGCUGGAGAAGUCCAGCUCUGAAGGCUGGAAUGGUUUCUCUGUGCAGAUUUCUUCAAAUCACAGCUAAGAAGGGGCACGGCUCGCUGAGAAAAUGUGUACCCUGUAAAAUAAAAGGAUUAGGAAACUACUUUAUAGCUUGUGAGAUUUAUGGUUUCAGAACAAACGGCUGUAGUUCAGUUGGUCUGCAGCUCUUAAGGAGGCCAAAACAAACUGCUUUAAAGCUUUGGUUCAAACAGAAGGCUCAGAUCCCCCCUUAUGUGGGUCUUUGUAAAUGAUGGGAAUACUGGAAAGAGUCU